UACGUAGGGGGCUAGCGUUGUCCGGAAUCAUUGGGCGUAAAGCGCGCGUAGGCGGCCCGGUAAGUCCGCUGUAAAAGUCAAAGGCUCAACCUUUGAAUGUCAGUGGAUACUGCCGGGCUAGAGUCCGGAAGAGGCGAGUGGAACUCCUGGUGUAGCGGUGGAAUGCGCAGAUAUCAGGAAGAACACCGACGGCGAAGGCAGCUCGCUGGGACGGUACUGACGCUGAGACGCGAAAGCGUGGGGAGCAAACAGG
rnacentral:rRNA from 1 species